UAGAUUGAAGCCAGUUAUUAGGGUAUUUAGCUGUUAACUAAAAUUUCGUAGGUUUAAAGCCUGCCAAUCUAG